UACGUAGGGGGCAAGCGUUGUCCGGAAUCAUUGGGCGUAAAGCGCGCGUAGGCGGCCCGAUAAGUCCGCUGUAAAAGUCCAGGGCUCAACCCUGGAAUGCCGGUGGAUACUGUCGGGCUAGAGUCCGGAAGAGGCGAGUGGAAUUCCUGGUGUAGCGGUGGAAUGCGCAGAGAUCAGGAGGAACACCCAUGGCGAAGGCAGCUCUCUGGUCGACCUCUGACGCUGAGACGCGAAAGCGUGGGGAGCGAACGGG
rnacentral:rRNA from 1 species